rnacentral:rRNA from 1 species
GAUGAACGCUGGCGGCGUGCUUAAUACAUGCAAGUCGAGCGAAAAGGCGAGGACUUUCCUGGGUUGACGUGAGGCGCGGGGGUGAGUGUCACGCGGGGGUCCUGUACCGAUAAGAGGGGGAUAACUGCGGGUCACGGGAUCUAAUAGCGGAGAAUAUAUUUAAGCGCGGUGUGCUAGAGUGAAAGACGGUUUGGCUUGCGCUUAUGGCUUGAUCCCCGGUGUAUUAGCUAGUGGGUAAGGUAAGGGUUUACCAAGGGGACGAUGCGUAGCCGGCCUGAGAGGGUGAUCCGCCACACUGGAAUUGAGACACGGUCCAGACUCCUACGGGAGGCAGCAGUAGGGAAUCUUGCAGCAUGGGCGAAAGCUUGACGGAGCAACGCCGCGUGAGUGAUGAAGGUCUUCGGAUCGUAAAACUCUGUUAUUUGGGAAGAACAAAUGUGUAAGUAAGUAUGGAUGUUUUGACGGUACCUAAAGAAAAAGCACCGGCUAACUACGUG